UACGAAGGGGGCUAGCGUUGCUUGGAAUCACUGGGCGUAAAGCGCACGUAGGCGGCUUUUUAAGUCAGGGGUGAAAUCCUGGAGCUCAACUCCAGAACUGCCUUUGAUACUGGAAAGCUCGAGUCCGGAAGAGGUGAGUGGAACUGCGAGUGUAGAGGUGAAACUCGUAGUUAUUCGGAGGAACACCAGUGGCGAAGGCGGCUCACUGGCUCGAUACUGACGCUGAGGUGCGAAAGCGUGGGGAGCAAACAGG
rnacentral:rRNA from 1 species